rnacentral:rRNA from 1 species
CUCAUAGCCGAAUCCGGCGCCKUAAGGCGUCGGWWAUGUGGCGUAUGGGAGGCGGAAUCCUCCGAGCGCGACUGGUGGUACAAGUCCCCAUGAGAGGGGCAUCUACCCUGAGCGGGUGCUAGGCCCGUACUGCCACCGGUUUGCGCGCGGAGUUGCCGUCCUCCCGGGAGUCGGGUUGCUUGGGAGUGCAACCCUAAGUGGGUGGUAAACUCCACCUAAAGCUAAAUAAGACCGAGAGACCGAUAGCGAACAAGUACCGUGAGGGAAAGUUGAAAAGCACUUUGAAGAGAGAGUUCAAUAGUACGUGAAACCGUUCAGAGGUAAACGGGUGGGACCUCGAAGUCCUUAGGCGGUGUUGGAUUCAGUCGCGUUCGCUUCUCGCCCUAAGGGACGUUACCUCUCGAUGAGGCCGUUCUUGUGGGUCAGGGAGCCGGGCACGGUGCACUUCCAAAUCCCGUCCAGUAGGGCGUCGCGACCGGUUGGAAGGCUGUCGUAAGGGCGACAAGAAAGGUGGCCGCAUCUCCCUCGGGAUUUGUGGUGUUACAGGCUUGUCAAGCUCCGACUGUCGUCCGACCGGGGUCGAGUUCAUCUCUGUUGCGUUCCCUUCCAAUCGGGAGCGUUGCCCGUGAGGAGCUGUCGGCGGAGCGGUGUGCCACCAUCAAAGGUGAGCACCUUCCGCAGGUAGUUUCCGAACGAGGCUUCGCGUGGAACCGGAGGUCGCGGCGAGUAGGUCGGUUACCCACCCGACCCGUCUUGAAACACGGACCAAGGAGUCUAAAGCGUGUGCGAGUUCCCGGGACUUGAAUAGGCCUGUGUGCGCAAUAAAAGUGUAGGUCUUAAUUGGCCGAGUUGGGAUCCUCUCGCGAGGCGCACCAACGGCCCGCCCGUAACCGGUUU